UUUCCAGAGAUGGAUUGGUGCCUUCGGAACGUCUGAGACAGGUGCUGCAUGGCUGUCGUCAGCUCGUGUUGUGAAAUGUUGGGUUAAGUCCCGCAACGAGCGCAACCCUUAUCCUUUGUUGCCAGCGGUUAGGCCGGGAACGUCAAAGGAGACUGCCAGUGAUAAACUGGAGGAAGGUGGGGAUGACGUCAAGUCAUCAUGGCCCUUACGAGUAGGGCUACACACGUGCUACAAUGGCGCAUACAAAGAGAAGCGACCUCGCGAGAGCAAGCGGACCUCAUAAAGUGCGUCGUAGUCCGGAUUGGAGUCUGCAACUCGACUCCAUGAAGUCGGAAUCGCUAGUAAUCGUGGAUCAGAAUGCCACGGUGAAUACGUUCCCGGGCCUUGUACACACCGCCCGUCACACCAUGGGAGUGGGUUGCAAAAGAAGUAGGUAGCUUAACCUUCGGGAGGGCGCUUACCACUUUGUGAUUCAUGACUGGGGUGAAGUCGUAACAAGGUAAGCGUAGUGCU
rnacentral:rRNA from 1 species